CCUACGGGAGGCAGCAGUCGAGAAUCAUUCACAAUGGGGGAAACCCUGAUGGUGCGACGCCGCGUGGGGGAAUGAAGGUCUUCGGAUUGUAAACCCCUGUCAUGUGGGAGCAAAUGAAAAAGAUAGUACCACAAGCGGAAGAGACGGCGAACUCUGUGCCAGCAGCCGCGGUAAUACAGAGGUCGAAAGCGUUGUUCGGAAUCACUGGGCGUAAAGCGUGCGUAGGCUGUUUCGUAAGUCGGGUGUGAAAGGCUCGGGCUCAACCCGCGGACGGCACAUGAUACUGCGAGACUAGAGUAAUGGAGGGGGAACCGGAAUGCUCGGUGUAGCAGUGAAAUGCGUAGAUAUC
rnacentral:rRNA from 1 species